UACGGGGGGGGCAAGCGUUGUUCGGAAUUACUGGGCGUAAAGGGCUCGUAGGCGGCCUACUAAGUCAGACGUGAAAUCCCCCGGCUUAACCUGGGAACUGCGUCUGAUACUGGAAGGCUUGAGGAUGGGAGAGGGAUGUAGAAUUCCAGGUGUAGCGGUGAAAUGCGUAGAUAUCUGGAGGAAUACCGGUGGCGAAGGCGGCAUCCUGGACCAUUACUGACGCUGAGGCGCGAAAGCUAGGGGAGCAAACGGG
rnacentral:rRNA from 1 species